ensembl:lncRNA
CCUUGAGAUCAUCAAUGUGCAGUUUGAAGAGACUGAAAAAAACCGAGAACUUUUUGCUUCCUGCAGACAUGAUCCAUCCUGUCGGUCUGCUCUAGUCAGAUUAGUGUGACUUACGAGAAUUAGGAAGGGGUUGAGCAGAAGAGAGAAAAUGAAGAAAGGAGAAGAAGAAAGACAAAAAAGAGAAGAGAAGAAAGAAGAAUUAUUUGCUCGCAAAGGAAGUCGGCCGUCCAGAAAAAUGUCUGUGCUAGCAACGUCCAGCUAUCAGUGGGCAAAGGAUCCAUUUGUCUCUGCGAUGAGUGAUUCUUUCCUCCUGUGCUGGACCCUCCGACAGUAUUCAGAGCUCAUAAUUUUAACCACCAAAUGUUAGGUCUGUUGAACUGCCACCACACUAAGACACAUAAGAGGAUCCCCAUGAACAUGCAUUUGGCAGGGGUGGAACAGAUCUCCAGCAGAACCAAGCUCAAGAUGGGCAGGACGCAGGAAGAAAAUAGAAGAAAGAAAAGAAGAAUAUAGAGAGGCUACUUAAAAUGAAAAGAGAAAAUCACAAACUAUAGGAGAACAGAGACAGUUUAUAUUAAGUGAUAUAUUUAGUAGUGUACAUACCUCAGACUUAAAGAAAAACUCUAAAGUAUUUGUAUGCACUUGCUUUGGUUCUUGUUUUGUUACUUUCUGCUAUCCUGUAAGUUCUCUAAUAAUGCCACACAAAACGUACCUCGAAUACAGCCA